rnacentral:rRNA from 1 species
GAUGAACGCUGGCGGCGUGCCUAAUACAUGCAAGUCGAGCGAACGGAUGAGAAGCUUGCUUCUCUGAUGUUAGCGGCGGACGGGUGAGUAACACGUGGAUAACCUACCUAUAAGACUGGGAUAACUUCGGGAAACCGGAGCUAAUACCGGAUGAUAUUUUGAACCGCAUGGUUCAAAAGUGAAAGACGGUCUUGCUGUCACUUAUAGAUGGAUCCGCGCUGCAUUAGCUAGUUGGUAAGGUAACGGCUUACCAAGGCAACGAUGCAUAGCCGACCUGAGAGGGUGAUCGGCCACACUGGAACUGAGACACGGUCCAGACUCCUACGGGGGGCAGCAGUAGGGAAUCUUCCGCAAUGGGCGAAAGCCUGACGGAGCAACGCCGCGUGAGUGAUGAAGGUCUUCGGAUCGUAAAACUCUGUUAUUAGGGAAGAACAUAUGUGUAAGUAACUGUGCACAUCUUGACGGUACCUAAUCAGAAAGCCACGGCUAACUACGUG